rnacentral:rRNA from 1 species
GGCUUAACCAUGCAAGUCGAACGAUGAACCGCUUUCGGUGCGGGGAUUAGUGGCGAACGGGUGAGUAACACGUGGGCAAUCUGCCCUGCACUCUGGGACAAGCCCUGGAAACGGGGUCUAAUACCGGAUAUGACCGUCUGCCGCAUGGUGGAUGGUGUAAAGCUCCGGCGGUGCAGGAUGAGCCCGCGGCCUAUCAGCUUGUUGGUGAGGUAGUGGCUCACCAAGGCGACGACGGGUAGCCGGCCUGAGAGGGCGACCGGCCACACUGGGACUGAGACACGGCCCAGACUCCUACGGGAGGCAGCAGUGGGGAAUAUUGCACAAUGGGCGAAAGCCUGAUGCAGCGACGCCGCGUGAGGGAUGACGGCCUUCGGGUUGUAAACCUCUUUCAGCAGGGAAGAAGCGAAAGUGACGGUACCUGCAGAAGAAGCGCCGGCUAACUACGUGCCAGCAGCCGCGGUAAUACGUAGGGCGCAAGCGUUGUCCGGAAUUAUUGGGCGUAAAGAGCUCGUAGGCGGCUUGUCACGUCGGUUGUGAAAGCCCGGGGCUUAACCCCGGGUCUGCAGUCGAUACGGGCAGGCUAGAGUUCGGUAGGGGAGAUCGGAAUUCCUGGUGUAGCGGUGAAAUGCGCAGAUAUCAGGAGGAACACCGGUGGCGAAGGCGGAUCUCUGGGCCGAUACUGACGCUGAGGAGCGAAAGCGUGCGGAGCGAACAGGAUUAGAUACCCUGGUAGUCCACGCCGUAUACGGUGGGCACUAGGUGUGGGCAACAUUCCACGUUGUCCGUGCCGCAGCUAACGCAUUAAGUGCCCCGCCUGGGGAGUACGGCCGCAAGGCUAACACUCAAAGGAAUUGACGGGGGCCCGCACAAGCGGCGGAGCAUGUGGCUUAAUUCGACGCAACGCGAAGAACCUUACCAAGGCUUGACAUACACCGGAUACGUCUGGAGACAGGCGCCCCCUUGUGGUCGGUGUACAGGUGGUGCAUGGCUGUCGUCAGCUCGUGUCGUGAGAUGUUGGGUUAAGUCCCGCAACGAGCGCAACCCUUGUCACGUGUUGCCAGCAGGCCCUUGUGGUGCUGGGGACUCACGGGAGAACCGCCGGGGUCAACUCGGAAGAAGGUGGGGACAACGUCAAGUC